GCACUGCGGGUGCCCUCUGGCCCCCACCCCAUCAUCGCGCAACACACCCCCUUCAACAUGCGCGCCCACCCUUUCAUUGCCCAGCGCCCCGAGCGGUCCCACCGCCCGGCAAAACACUGAGCAAGCCGCUGCGCUCACCUUGCUUGACGCACUUGAGCCGGAGGGGGUCCUUGCAGUGUUUGAUCACGGCCAGCACGUCCCUGAUGGUGAGCCCCGCCACGGGGGUCUCGUUCACCUCCAGCAGCAGCUCCUCCGACACCAACUUGCUGCCGCUCUCAUAGGCCACCUUGCCGGGCUUCACCUCCCCCAGUAAUGUCUUACAAUAACAGAAUGCAGGAGAGCACAUAUCAAUGAAGAAAAGACAAAAUGUAUUUAUCCAUGAAGCUGAGGUUAAGAAACCAGUGUCUUCAAGAGCCGGGGACAGCACUGGGUCUGUGCAGAGUUGAGAGAUGGUGAUGACAUGUGGUUUCCAGCAUUCCUGGCCCAGUCCAGGGACACUGUGGGUGUGCCCAGCUUAAGUCCAGUAACUGGAAAUACAAGCCCAAGUUCUGGAGAGUUUGAGCUGCAGAGAUAUAUAUGGGGACACUUUGAACCUUGACUCAUUGGCCAUAACCAGCAGAGUGGAAAAUACAAG
rnacentral:antisense_RNA from 1 species